rnacentral:misc_RNA from 1 species
CAAAGCAACCAUAUUCACAGUUCAAGUCUUAAUUAAAACAACAACAAAAGCCUUUAUAGGAUUUACUUAAAAAAGGUAGCCUCAAAAACGGAUUGUGAAAAGACUUGACCCCUAAAGAGCUGAUCCAACAAGCAAGGUCGUUUAGCAGUUCAGGAGUUUCCAAAGCUGUUGAACAAAAACGAACUACUAUUCACUUUCUUUAAGCCGAGGCUGCAUUGUAUCGGGUAGAACAGUUGAGUUAGAAUCUGAGUAAUAUGGAGCUCCAUCGUAUAUGAAUUUGACG